GUCGGCAGCUAGCUCUCUGCAAGUCUCACACAGUUGCCCACUGAAGCUAAGCCGAGCUGCGCCCAGUCAGUACUUGGAUGGGAGACUACAUGGGAAAGCUAGGUGGCUGCCAGAA
rnacentral:rRNA from 1 species